GUGGGCUGCCAUGCGUUCCUUCCCAGUGGCCCGGAAGACACGGGGGAGAAGCACAGCCAGCAUGGGAGAGUGCAAGUAAUCACCAAACAAAGUGGAAAGUUUAUCUCCUCCCUCCUUCCUAUCAGCUCAGACUCACCAGGUACGUCAGGGGAGGAGCUGAGGAUCAUGAAAGCAUCAGAGAGGCCGGCCUUGACAGGGUGUUGUGCAUCACUAAUUUCCAGGACCGACAUGGGGAUCUGGAACCAGGAAAGUUGCGAAGGCUUAGAAAAUGCCACCGUUACUGGAGUUAAAUAAGGAUCAUGACAAUCUUCCGCUUCUCCCCACUCUCUGAGGGUCCCUCGUCUUAAAAGACUUGGACUCUGAUGGAUGCUUGAGCGGGGCAGAAGCGGCCCUUUCAUCAGGCGAGAUACACUUGGUCCCACUGAACCACAAAGACUGUCCCUGUGUGGGGAGAGAAGACAGAGCAGGAAAGUGAAGUGGGAAGAUAGCAGCAUGAAAUGAAGUUCACCUGUGUUCUGCCCCAGGGUGCUAGUGUGGAGGCCUGGAACUUGUAUCUUGUAUUAUCAUUCACAGUCCCAUGGAAGGGACCCAAAAACCAUCUGGGCCAAACCUCACCACCAGCCAAGGACACCGACGGAUCAGCCUAUGCUGUCUAACACAGAGCCACACAGUGCAGACAGUAGGUACAGCACAGAACCAUGGGUGCCUGCACGGCAAAGAAGCUCCAGGUACCUCAAGGACGUGAGCCAAGCAAGACACUAUAUGCAUGCACAUGGAGUCACGAGUCAAUCUGAUCUGGUGAAAAUUCCUUCCCAACCCCAAGUAUGGUUCUCAGUCAAACCCUGAGCAGGACACCUCCACAGAGAAUUUGACUGAGGCUGGGACUACUUUUUCUUGCUUGCCAAAGUGUACUUCUAAACAUAUGCAGAGUGUGUUCCAUUUACUAUGAAGUCACUACAUGUACUCCAAAGUGGUCACUACAAAAGCAGCCAAGGCUUUCCCACUGUCCCCUAUGAAAUGCCUUGUACCCCUGGCUCAGUGUGGCUUAUAUUAUUUUUACAGGCAUCUACUUGUACAUAUAUGUUGUUCUAAGUAGCUGCAUAAAAUAAUCUAUUAUUUGGCAGCAAGAAAACUUUAAAAAAAAAUCUAGGAGAG